rnacentral:rRNA from 1 species
GCCUGCGGGGUGCUAUACAUGCAAGUCGAGCGGACAGAAGGGAGCUUGCUCCCGGAUGUUAGCGGCGGACGGGUGAGUAACACGUGGGUAACCUGCCUGUAAGACUGGGAUAACUCCGGGAAACCGGAGCUAAUACCGGAUAGUUCCUUGAACCGCAUGGUUCAAGGAUGAAAGACGGUUUCGGCUGUCACUUACAGAUGGACCCGCGGCGCAUUAGCUAGUUGGUGAGGUAACGGCUCACCAAGGCGACGAUGCGUAGCCGACCUGAGAGGGUGAUCGGCCACACUGGGACUGAGACACGGCCCAGACUCCUACGGGAGGCAGCAGUAGGGAAUCUUCCGCAAUGGACGAAAGUCUGACGGAGCAACGCCGCGUGAGUGAUGAAGGUUUUCGGAUCGUAAAGCUCUGUUGUUAGGGAAGAACAAGUGCAAGAGUAACUGCUUGCACCUUGACGGUACCUAACCAGAAAGCCACGGCUAACUACGUGCCAGCAGCCGCGGUAAUACGUAGGUGGCAAGCGUUGUCCGGAAUUAUUGGGCGUAAAGGGCUCGCAGGCGGUUUCUUAAGUCUGAUGUGAAAGCCCCCGGCUCAACCGGGGAGGGUCAUUGGAAACUGGGAAACUUGAGUGCAGAAGAGGAGAGUGGAAUUCCACGUGUAGCGGUGAAAUGCGUAGAGAUGUGGAGGAACACCAGUGGCGAAGGCGACUCUCUGGUCUGUAACUGACGCUGAGGAGCGAAAGCGUGGGGAGCGAACAGGAUUAGAUACCCUGGUAGUCCACGCCGUAAACGAUGAGUGCUAAGUGUUAGGGGGUUUCCGCCCCUUAGUGCUGCAGCUAACGCAUUAAGCACUCCGCCUGGGGAGUACGGUCGCAAGACUGAAACUCAAAGGAAUUGACGGGGGCCCGCACAAGCGGUGGAGCAUGUGGUUAAUUCGAAGCACGCGAAGAACCUUACCAGGUCUUGACUCCUCUGACACCCUAGAGAUAGGGCUUUCCC